rnacentral:rRNA from 1 species
UACGGAGGGGGCUAGCGUUGUUCGGAAAUACUGGGCGUAAAGCGCACGUAGGCGGCGCAGUAAGUCAGGGGUGAAAUCCCGGGGCUCAACCCCGGAACUGCCCUUGAAACUGCAGUGCUAGAAUUCUGGAGAGGCGAGUGGAAUUCCGAGUGUAGAGGUGAAAUUCGUAGAUAUUAGGAAGAACACCGGUGGCGAAGGCGGCCCACUGGAUCGGUACUGACGCUGAGGUGCGAAAGCGUGGGGAGCAAACAGG